GAUGAAGAACGUAGCGAAAUGCGAUACGUAGUGUGAAUUGCAGAAUUCAGUGAAUCAUCGAAUCUUUGAACGCACAUUGCGCCCUUUGGUAUUCCAAAGGGCAUGCCUGUUCGAGCGUCAUUUGUACCCUCAAGCUUUGCUUGGUGUUGGGCGUCUUGUCUCCAGUCCGCUGGAGACUCGCCUUAAAGUCAUUGGCAGCCGGCCUACUGGUUUCGGAGCGCAGCACAAGUCGCACUCUUUUCCAGCCAAGGUCAGUGUCCAACAAGCCUUUUUUCAACUUUUGACCUCGCAUCAGGUAGGGAUACCCGCUGAACUUAAGCAUAUCAAUAAGCGGAGGA
rnacentral:misc_RNA from 1 species